rnacentral:rRNA from 1 species
UACGGGGGGGGCAAGCGUUGUUCGGAAUUACUGGGCGUAAAGGGCUCGUAGGUGGCCAACUAAGUCAGACGUGAAAUCCCUCGGCUUAACCGGGGAACUGCGUCUGAUACUGGAUGGCUUGAGAUUGGGAGAGGGAUGCGGAAUUCCAGGUGUAGCGGUGAAAUGCGCAGAUAUCAGGAGGAACACCGGUGGCGAAGGCGGAUCUCUGGGCCAUUACUGACGCUGAGGAGCGAAAGCGUGGGGAGCGAACAGG